rnacentral:rRNA from 1 species
GGACGAACGCUGGCGGCGUGCCUAAUACAUGCAAGUAGAACGCUGAAGAGAGGAGCUUGCUCUUCUUGGAUGAGUUGCGAACGGGUGAGUAACGCGUAGGUAACCUGCCUUGUAGCGGGGGAUAACUAUUGGAAACGAUAGCUAAUACCGCAUAACAAUGGAUGACACAUGUCAUUUAUUUGAAAGGGGCAAUUGCUCCACUACAAGAUGGACCUGCGUUGUAUUAGCUAGUAGGUGAGGUAAUGGCUCACCUAGGCGACGAUACAUAGCCGACCUGAGAGGGUGAUCGGCCACACUGGGACUGAGACACGGCCCAGACUCCUACGGGAGGCAGCAGUAGGGAAUCUUCGGCAAUGGGGGCAACCCUGACCGAGCAACGCCGCGUGAGUGAAGAAGGUUUUCGGAUCGUAAAGCUCUGUUGUAAGUCAAGAACGGGUGUGAGAGUGGAAAGUUCACACUGUGACGGUAGCUUACCAGAAAGGGACGGCUAACUACGUGCCAGCAGCCGCGGUAAUACGUAGGUCCCGAGCGUUGUCCGGAUUUAUUGGGCGUAAAGCGAGCGCAGGCGGUUUGAUAAGUCUGAAGUUAAAGGCUGUGGCUCAACCAUAGUUCGCUUUGGAAACUGUCAAACUUGAGUGCAGAAGGGGAGAGUGGAAUUCCAUGUGUAGCGGUGAAAUGCGUAGAUAUAUGGAGGAACACCGGUGGCGAAAGCGGCUCUCUGGUCUGUAACUGACGCUGAGGCUCGAAAGCGUGGGGAGCGAACAGGAUUAGAUACCCUGGUAGUCCACGCCGUAAACGAUGAGUGCUAGGUGUUGGAUCCUUUCCGGGAUUCAGUGCCGCAGCUAACGCAUUAAGCACUCCGCCUGGGGAGUACGACCGCAAGGUUGAAACUCAAAGGAAUUGACGGGGGCCCGCACAAGCGGUGGAGCAUGUGGUUUAAUUCGAAGCAACGCGAAGAACCUUACCAGGUCUUGACAUCCCGAUGCUAUUUCUAGAGAUAGAAAGUUACUUCGGUACAUCGGUGACAGGUGGUGCAUGGUUGUCGUCAGCUCGUGUCGUGAGAUGUUGGGUUAAGUCCCGCAACGAGCGCAACCCCUAUUGUUAGUUGCCAUCAUUCAGUUGGGCACUCUAGCGAGACUGCCGGUAAUAAACCGGAGGAAGGUGGGGAUGACGUCAAAUCAUCAUGCCCCUUAUGACCUGGGCUACACACGUGCUACAAUGGUUGGUACAACGAGUUGCGAGUCGGUGACGGCGAGCUAAUCUCUUAAAGCCAAUCUCAGUUCGGAUUGUAGGCUGCAACUCGCCUACAUGAAGUCGGAAUCGCUAGUAAUCGCGGAUCAGCACGCCGCGGUGAAUACGUUCCCGGGCCUUGUACACACCGCCCGUCACACCACGAGAGUUUGUAACACCCGAAGUCGGUGAGGUAACCUUUUGGAGCCAGCCGCCUAAGGUGGGACAGAUGAUUGGGGUGAAGUCG